AUUUUUAUUAUUGUUUAAUAUUUUUAAAUAUAAUUAAUUAUGAUUUUUUAAAUUACGUUCCAGAAAAUUCGGUUAUACGUAUUAAGCUUUAACUAGAAAUAUUUUUUAAUUAAUUUUUGAAUAUUAUUUGAUUAUUAUUUUUUUGUGAAAAUUUAAAUUUUUUAUUAUUUUUAAAAAUUAAUUUUUAGUUUGUUAAUAACUUGGUUUAGUAUCCAAUUAAAAAAAAUUAAAUUAAAUCUAAAGUAGUUUAAAAUAAAUAGAAUUAAUUUGUCGGGAAUAUAAAUUUUUUUUUGGGAUUUGAUGGUUAAUUGGUCAAAACACCUAUUAACUAAUUUUUUUGUUUUUUGAAUGUCUCUUUGAUUUAUUUAUUUUAUAAAAAAAAUAUUUUUAUUUGAGGUAAAUACAAAAAUUAUGAUUUAGUCUUUAUUUAGUCACAUUAUUUUAAGAUUUUAGUUAUAUUAUUAAUUAAUAUAUAAAUUGGAAAAAAAAGUAAAUUUAAAAUUAAUUUUUUUUUGAAUUAAAUCUUUAUUCAGUUCUAAUUGUCCAUCAUUACUAAUUAGUGAAAGUUGUAGCAAAGUAGAUUUAAAUGAAUUUGAAUCUA
rnacentral:rRNA from 1 species